rnacentral:rRNA from 1 species
UACGAAGGGGGCGAGCGUUGUUCGGAUUCACUGGGCGUAAAGGGUGCGUAGGUGGUGAGGUAAGUCGGAUGUGAAAGCUCGGAGCUCAACUCCGAAAUGGCAUUGGAAACUACCUUGCUCGAGGGUUGGAGGGGGGACUGGAAUACUUGGUGUAGCAGUGAAAUGCGUAGAUAUCGGGAGGAACACCUGUGGCGAAAGCGGCUCACUGGACCACAACUGACGCUGAGGCGCGAAAGCUAGGGGAGCAAACAGG